rnacentral:rRNA from 1 species
UACGGAGGAUCCAAGCGUUAUCCGGAUUUAUUGGGUUUAAAGGGUGCGUAGGCGGUUAUUUAAGUCAGUGGUGAAAGUUUGCAGCUCAACUGUAAAAUUGCCAUUGAAACUGGAUGACUUGAGUACGGUAGAGGUAAGCGGAAUGCGUUGUGUAGCGGUGAAAUGCAUAGAUAUAACGCAGAACCCCAAUUGCGAAGGCAGCUUACUGGACCGUUUACUGACGCUGAGGCACGAAAGCGUGGGGA